GUGAGAACAUUUACUCAAGAAUUAGUUUGGUUGAACAUAUACUCAAGAAUUAGUUUGGUUGAAGUAAGAGGCUUGCCUGGCGUUGAUGAAAUCCAUUAUGCUUGAUCCAUCACCGANCUUCACCACUCUUCCAUUUUCCAUAUAAAAAGCUCCAUCAGCAUACUCGAGUUCUUCCAAUCGAUGGGUCACCCAUAAAGCUGUAAUUUCAUCAGAUGCAACCAAGGAGUUCUUGACUGCUUUAAUCACCCCAAUCUGAUCAUUUUGGUCCAAGAAUGUUGUGAGCUCAUCCAACAAAAGCACCUUGCAUGCUUCAGCUAGAGCACCAGCAAUGGCAACCCUUUGUUUUUGACCACCACUCAGAGUUUGAACAGGCCUUUGCAUGUAGGUAGACAUGCCCACAUCAUCCAGAGCUUUUGACACUCUUUGCCUAACUUCAUC
rnacentral:misc_RNA from 1 species